rnacentral:rRNA from 1 species
ACUAGACCUAGCCCAAAGAUACCCUCUCGACUAAACAACCAAGAUAGAAUAAAACAAAACAUUUAAUCCCAAUUUAAAGUAUAGGAGAUAGAAAUCUAAGUACGGCGCUAUAGAGAAAGUACCGCAAGGGAACGAUGAAAGAAAAAAAACUAAAAGUAUAAAAAAGCAAAGAUUACCCCUUGUACCUUUUGCAUAAUGAAUUAACUAGUAUAAGACUUAACAAAAUGAAUUUUAGCUAAGCAGCCCGAAACCAGACGAGCUACUCACAAACAGUUUACCAAGAACUAACUCAUCUAUGUGGCAAAAUAGUGAGAAGAUUUGUAAGUAGAGGUGACAUGCCUAACGAGCCUGGUGAUAGCUGGUUGUCCAGAAAAUGAAUCUAAGUUCAGCUUUAAAGAUACCAAAAAUUCAAAUAAACCCCACUGUAGCUUUAAAAGUUAGUCUAAAAAGGUACAGCCUUUUAGAAACGGAUACAACCUUGACUAGAGAGUAAAAUUUAACACUACCAUAGUAGGCCUAAAAGCAGCCAUCAAUUAAGAAAGCGUUAAAGCUCAACAACAAAAAUUAAAUAGAUUCCAACAACAAAUGAUUAACUCCUAGCCCCCAAUACUGGACUAAUCUAUUAUAAAAUAGAAGCAAUAAUGUUAAUAUGAGUAACAAGAAAAAUUUUCUCCUUGCAUAAGUCUAAGUCAGUGCCUGAUAAUACUCUGACCACUAACAGUCAAUAAAAAUAAUCCAACAAUAAACAAUUUAUUGAUUAUACUGUUAACCCAACACAGGAGUGCAUCUAAGGAAAGAUUAAAAGAAGUAAAAGGAACUCGGCAAACACAAACCCCGCCUGUUUACCAAAAACAUCACCUCCAGCAUUCCCAGUAUUGGAGGCAUUGCCUGCCCAGUGACAACUGUUUAACGGCCGCGGUAUCCUGACCGUGCAAAGGUAGCAUAAUCAUUUGUUCUCUAAAUAAGGACUUGUAUGAAUGGCCGCACGAGGGUUUUACUGUCUCUUACUUCCAAUCAGUGAAAUUGACCUUCCCGUGAAGAGGCGGGAAUGCACAAAUAAGACGAGAAGACCCUAUGGAGCUUUAACUAACCAACCCAAAGAGAAUAGAUUUAACCAUUAAGGAAUAACAACAAUCUCCAUGAGUUGGUAGUUUCGGUUGGGGUGACCUCGGAGAAUAAAAAAUCCUCCGAGCGAUUUUAAAGACUAGACCCACAAGUCAAAUCACUCUAUCGCUCAUUGAUCCAAAAACUUGAUCAACGGAACAAGUUACCCUAGGGAUAACAGCGCAAUCCUAUUCAAGAGUCCAUAUCGACAAUAGGGUUUACGACCUCGAUGUUGGAUCAGGACAUCCUGAUGGUGCAACCGCUAUCAAAGGUUCGUUUGUUCAACGAUUAAAGUCCUACGUGAUCUGAGUUCAGACCGGAGUAAUCCAGGUCGGUUUCUAUCUAUUACGUAUUUCUCCCAGUACGAAAGGACAAGAGAAAUAAGGCCAACUUUAAAUCAAGCGCCUUAAGACAACCAAUGAUAACAUCUCAACUGACAACACAAAACCCUGCCCUAGAACAGGGCUUA